UACGUAGGGUGCAAGCGUUAAUCGGAAUUACUGGGCGUAAAGCGUGCGCAGGCGGUUAUGUAAGACAGUUGUGAAAUCCCCGGGCCUCAACCUGGGAAUUGCAUCUGUGACUGCAUAGCUAGAGUACGGUAGAGGGGGAUGGAAUUCCGCGUGACGCAGUGAAAUGCGUAGAUAUGCGGAGGAACACCGAUGGCGAAGGCAAUCCCCUGGACCUGUACUGACGCUCAUGCA
rnacentral:rRNA from 1 species